rnacentral:ribozyme from 11 species
GGUGCCCUUCGGCAAGGGGGCCUUCUUUGAAGGCCGGCUGGUGCACACAAACGAGGUCCUUUGCCUGCUCGGCGACAAUUGGUUCUCUAUGCGCACGGCAGAGUCAGCCAAGGGGGUCAUCAAGAGAAGGAAGGCAAUGACCACCGAGCAGAAGCAGACCCUUGAGGUGCAAGCACAGCGCAUCAAGGCAUCCCUGGGCAUGGCCCAGGAUUUAAGCCGA